GUCUUAUUGGUUGAUAAAUAAAGCACUGUUGGCCAAUAGGAAAGCAAGAUAGGUGGGGCUAGGAGUCAAGGAGGAUUCUGGGAAAUGUAGUAAAGACAGAAGUCGCCAUGUGAUCCUGGGAAGAGGACGCAUGCUACCCAAGUCCUCCAUAAGGGUGGGGAAGGCAGUUUGUCCCCUUCUAUGGCAGGCUGGAGCCUUCUUUGGUGAGCAGAGACAAAGGCGACAAGUUCAGGAGGAUGGAGGAGGUGGUAAAAUCAGAC
rnacentral:lncRNA from 1 species